rnacentral:rRNA from 1 species
AGCGAGGAAAAGAAAACCAACCGGGAUUGCCUUAGUAACGGCGAGUGAAGCGGCAAAAGCUCAAAUUUGAAAUCUGGUACCUUCGGUGCCCGAGUUGUAAUUUGGAGAGGGCAACUUUGGGGCCGUUCCCUUGUCUAUGUUCCUUGGAACAGGACGUCAUAGAGGGUGAGAAUCCCGUGUGGCGAGGAGUGCGGUUCUUUGUAAAGUGCCUUCGAAGAGUCGAGUUGUUUGGGAAUGCAGCUCUAAGUGGGUGGUAAAUUCCAUCUAAAGCUAAAUAUUGGCGAGAGACCGAUAGCGAACAAGUACAGUGAUGGAAAGAUGAAAAGAACUUUGAAAAGAGAGUGAAAAAGUACGUGAAAUUGUUGAAAGGGAAGGGCAUUUGAUCAGACAUGGUGUUUUGUGCCCUCUGCUCCUUGUGGGUAGGGGAAUCUCGCAUUUCACUGGGCCAGCAUCAGUUUUGGUGGCAGGAUAAAUCCAUAGGAAUGUAGCUUGCCUCGGUAAGUAUUAUAGCCUGUGGGAAUACUGCCAGCUGGGACUGAGGACUGCGACGUAAGUCAAGGAUGCUGG